GCGGGCGUAGUUUAAUGGCAAAACGAAAGCUUCCCAAGCUUUAGUCGUGAGUUCGAUUCUCAUCGCCCGCUCCA
rnacentral:tRNA from 4 species